CAGGCUCCUGGACGACAUAGUGACCUCCUUCUGUCUGUCCAACUCCAGGCCCAGGCUCAGACCUCAGGCCUGCUCUCCGUCUCCCUGACGGCACCCGGCUCAAAACCCCAACGCGCACGCGCCGCUCCUACCGGAACCCCGCCCGCCAGUGACCCUGGACCGGAAGUGACGGAUGAAGUGCCUGAAGAAGACGCAGUGCGUGGGUGGCGUCGAGCAGAGAAAGAGGCGGAUCGUAUCGAAAAUGUGAGGGACUUCAGUGAGAAAGUCUGAGAAGGUCUUGAAAGUCUGCCUGGUGAAUAUCUACACGAGUAUUAGACAAACUCUGCAUCUGCCACGAAGAAUUCUACCUACAAGUACAGUCUGAAAGAUAAGACAGAGAACCUGCAGCCCUAGCAACCCACCAAGUACCAAACAACAGAAAGAUAGACAAGAAAGACAAGCAAUUAUUCUUUAGGGAGCUGGCAGCUGAUUAAAAAAGUAUCAUGACAGGACAACAGAAGAAAAUGUGUGACAGAAAAAAAAGAUGUAAUUGAAAAUACUUGGGUCAAGUACAAAUAUCAUGCAUUUAUAGUGUUAGGAUUUCCUGUUGAUCUUGACAAGGUGAGAGAUGUAGCAGGAAUGCAGCAAAGAUCAGAUGUGAAAGUAGAACAAUAAUUAGUUGGAAUUUGUGAACUACCUAGCAAAGUUCCUGUCUCCUGGGUCAUCAGAGUGUCAACCUCUACACAAACUCACUGCUUAAGAUGUACAGUCUUCACUUGAAUAAAAAAAAGAGCAACAUCAACUUACCAUGCUCUGGAAGUCAUCAGCACAGCAAAGACACUGCAUCUGAAAGACAAGUGACUGACAUUUCCUGGAGAAAGAACAUUGCCGCAGGACUGAGCAGAUACCAACUCACACCUACCCUUAAAGGAUUGAAGCACUUUAGAAAAUAUGAAUGAAAGACAAUAUAUGGAGACUGAAAAAAUUGAGACUGAUGAGAAAUAGUAGUGCUUGUUCAAUAUUUAUAGGAUAACUUGUAAUUAUAAAUAAUAGUGCAUGCAUUUUUUAAAUAAAGUGUGAUGUUUGGAGAAAUGCAUUUGUGCAUUGUAACGUACCACUGUCGUGUGAUCUCUGCUCCAGCUUGCUUUCAUGUUAGAAGUAGUGGACUUAAAAACACAUUAAAUAAAACAAAUUAA